GAUGAACGCUGGCGGCGUGCUUAACACAUGCAAGUCGAACGGGAUCCAUCAGGCUUUGCUUGGUGGUGAGAGUGGCGAACGGGUGAGUAAUGCGUGACCGACCUGCCCCAUACACCGGAAUAGCUCCUGGAAACGGGUGGUAAUGCCGGAUGCUCCAGUUGAUCGCGUGGUCUUCUGGGAAAGCUUUCGCGGUAUGGGAUGGGGUCGCGUCCUAUCAGCUUGACGGCGGGGUAACGGCCCACCGUGGCUUCGACGGGUAGCCGGCCUGAGAGGGCGACCGGCCACAUUGGGACUGAGAUACGGCCCAGACUCCUACGGGAGGCAGCAGUGGGGAAUAUUGCACAAUGGGCGCAAGCCUGAUGCAGCGACGCCGCGUGAGGGAUGGAGGCCUUCGGGUUGUAAACCUCUUUUAUCGGGGAGCAAGCGAGAGUGAGUUUACCCGUUGAAUAAGCACCGGCUAAC
rnacentral:rRNA from 1 species